rnacentral:tRNA from 1 species
AAGGAGUCGAACCCUCGUACGCUGGUUUCAAGCCAACCGCAUCAAACCGCCUAUGCUUCUUUCUU